AGGCCACAAGCCCAAGCUCACACCCAGAGUGAGAGUUGGAGACGGGCUUGUUCUAGAAUCACAAAACCUUGGAGGGUGGCGUGACAUUGUUACCAGUUGAUUAGAGUCAGAUGUUCAGGGUCGGAGGCCAGUGGUGCUGGAGAGAAAUGAGGUGAGGGGAGUAUGGCCCACUGACACUGUCCUUGACCCUGGCAGGAGGGGUCCUCCACGUUUGCCUCCCCGGAGAUCAGCCCCCAGAGAGUGCACGAGAAGCAGCAGCAGCAGGAGAAUAUGCCUGUGGGGGAGGGUCUCUGCUGGAGGCCUCAAAUAAACAGAGGAGGGCCCUUCCUCUUGCUGCCACAGUGCCUGAAUCCCCCAGUAGAAGUGACCAGGAGGAGGGCCUGGGAGAUCUGGUGCAGAAUGGGUUUGUUGUGGGGAGGGCCAGGGACCGCAUACCCUGUGAUUUGCCAGAAGCCGGCCCUGGGAGGUGAGGAGGAGGAGUGUGGUGUUCUUGGGGUGUGAAGGGAGGAGGAAUUGAGGGGAGGCUUCUGAGGGUCUUAGGCUGCUGCCUGUGGGAACACUGGGGUGGGCAGAGAGUAUGAGGGUGAGGACUUUUCAGGGGAGGGUCUCCAGGGGGCAGACUUGAGAGCAAGGGCUCAUCCCACACACACCCCGAUGUCACAGAGUGUCAUCGCAUAUCUUGGUACUUUCCUCGGUGACCUGCUGAUGCUGCACCUGCUGAUGGGUGAUAAUCUCGAGGUGGGUGGACAUGAGGAGCAGGUAGGGAGAACCAGGAUCCUGAGCCUUGGGAUGCAGGAGACUCCAAACUGAGCUCUGAGCUCUCAGCACUUGGCACAUCUCUCCUGAGAGCCUCGCAGCCGCCCCUGGGAGCUGGGGCAUCAGGCCAAUCUUAGGGAUAAGUGAACAGAGGCUCCACCUGAGACACCCAUUCUGGUUCCCCAGGCUAGGGAAGCUCAGAGCUGCCUGAUGGCACAGCUGCAUGAGGUUUUAUCUGAGUUGGACUCAGCCUCUCCCUCCUAUGCUGCCCAUGGAGGGAGAGAGACUUCGGGCCUCUCCAAGUCAGGCAGCACAUAUGUGGCUGAGCAGUCCCGUCUGCCUGAGACCUCACCCUCCAAGUCUGUCAUCAGAGAGGGUUGUGAUGCCACGUCCCUCAGCCUGACCCCCAUGUCCUGCUUCUCUGGAUCCCAGAGCCUGGCCUGGGUCCAAGUCCUGUUUUCUCUGCAUGCCCCAGCCCCUCUGGGGAUCUGGCUGUAGUGCAACAUGAGAAAGGGUGGGCAUAGGGGGCUAGUCAGGCUAGGGGCCUCUAUCUAAUGGACUCUGGCUCUCUGCCUUCCAGGAGAACAAGAUUAAUCUUGAGUAAAGGACUGAGGAAUACUGAGUCAUGAGGGAGAUCCUGCUGCUCCAGGUGGCUGCAAAGAAUUACAACCUGGACCCCGAGGAGCGAUUUGGGGCCUGGUUCCAGGACAUGGUGCUGCUCAACGAGAACGGUCAAAGAACAAGAGCAGAGGUCAUCAAAAGGUCAAGUCUAAUCUACCUACAGAUGUGGCAGGCUUAGCUAUGGAUGUUCAAGCCAGACAUUGCCAGGAGAACCACAUCUCUUCACCCAUAGCAUGGACUGUAGGAGAAAGCCCAGAGGAGCAAUGAAGACAAAGAAGACAUGACACCUGCAAAAAGUCAGUGGAGUAUUUCUACAUAAGAAACAUUCCAGGCUGCCAUGAUCCUCCCUCUGAACCCCAUGGUCAGUGUCGCUGCAGAGAUCCUCCCUUUGGACCCUGCCUGCCUGAAGGGCCCAUACCUUGAUCAGACGUCUUAGAACGACUGCCCUUAGCCAUGUCAUAAAAAGGAGAAAACAUCAUAUUUGACAACCCCAAUUCCUGCAUUAUACAGACAGGAAACUCAGGUGCACUUCACCACACGCUUCUCAGUUGCGUGGAUGCACAUCUCCACUUCUUUGCAGGGAGGACGCACAACAGCAGAAUACCCGUGGCCUGACUUUCUGGAGCAUCAGUAUUACUACAAGAUUUGGAAAAACCAAAGUUAGGUCAUUUCCAAGGUAAAGAAUUAAAAACUUAAAACUAAGA